AGAGUUUGAUCCUGGCUCAGGAUGAACGCUGGCGGCGUGCCUAACACAUGCAAGUCGAGCGAAGCACUUUGAUUUGAUUCUUCGGAUGAAGAUUUUUGUGACUGAGCGGCGGACGGGUGAGUAACGCGUGGGCAACCUGCCUUACACAGGGGGAUAACAGUUAGAAAUGACUGCUAAUACCGCAUAAGACCGCAGGACCGCAUGGUCCGGUGGUAAAAACUCCGGUGGUGUAAGAUGGGCCCGCGUCUGAUUAGGUAGUUGGCGGGGUAACGGCCCACCAAGCCGACGAUCAGUAGCCGACCUGAGAGGGUGACCGGCCACAUUGGGACUGAGACACGGCCCAGACUCCUACGGGAGGCAGCAGUGGGGAAUAUUGCACAAUGGGGGAAACCCUGAUGCAGCGACGCCGCGUGAGCGAUGAAGUAUUUCGGUAUGUAAAGCUCUAUCAGCAGGGAAGAAAAUGACGGUACCUGACUAAGAAGCCCCGGCCAACUACGUGCCAGCAGCCGCGGUAAUACGUAGGGGGCAAGCGUUAUCCGGAUUUACUGGGUGUAAAGGGAGCGUAGACGGCUGUGCAAGCCAGAUGUGAAAGCCCGGGGCUCAACCCCGGGACUGCAUUUGGAACUGCGUGGCUUGAGUGUCGGAGAGGCAGGCGGAAUUCCUAGUGUAGCGGUGAAAUGCGUAGAUAUUAGGAGGAACACCAGUGGCGAAGGCGGCCUGCUGGACGAUGACUGACGUUGAGGCUCGAAAGCGUGGGGAGCAAACAGGAUUAGAUACCCU
rnacentral:rRNA from 1 species